rnacentral:tRNA from 1 species
GCUGGCGUAGCUCAGGGGCCAGAGCAACUGCCUUGUAAGCAGUGGGUCGGGGGUUCAAAUCCUCCCGCCAGCGCCA